UUUAAUAUGGCAGAAUAGUGCCUUGAACUUAAACCUCAAAUAUAAAAACUAAAUUUUUUAUUAAAA
rnacentral:tRNA from 1 species